rnacentral:rRNA from 1 species
CUACGGGAGGCAGCAGUAAGGAAUAUUGGUCAAUGGACGAAAGUCUGAACCAGCCAUGCCGCGUGGAGGAUGAAGGUCCUCUGGAUUGUAAACUUCUUUUAUAUGGGACGAAAAAAGGUCUUUCUAGAUCGUCUGACGGUACCAUAUGAAUAAGCACCGGCUAACUCCGUGCCAGCAGCCGCGGUAAUACGGAGGGUGCAAGCGUUAUCCGGAUUCACUGGGUUUAAAGGGUGCGUAGGUGGGUUGGUAAGUCAGUGGUGAAAUCCCCGAGCUUAACUUGGGAACUGCCAUUGAUACUAUCAGUCUUGAAUACCGUGGAGGUCAGCGGAAUAUGUCAUGUAGCGGUGAAAUGCUUAGAUAUGACAUAGAACACCAAUUGCGAAGGCAGCUGGCUACUCGAAUAUUGACACUGAGGCACGAAAGCGUGGGGAUCAAACAGGAUUAGAAACCCGGGUAGUCC